rnacentral:rRNA from 1 species
UACGUAGGGAGCAAGCGUUGUCCGGAAUCAUUGGGCGUAAAGCGCGCGUAGGUGGCCACAUAAGUCCGUUGUGAAAGCCAAAGGCUCAACCUUUGAAAGCCGAUGGAUACUGUGUGGCUAGAGUACGGAAGAGGCGAGUGGAAUUCCGGGUGUAGCGGUGGAAUGCGUAGAUAUCCGGAAGAACACCGGUGGCGAAGGCGGGUCUCUGGGCCGUAACUGACGCUGAGGAGCGAAAGCAUGGGGAGCGAACAGG